AUACGGAGGAUCCAAGCGUUAUCCGGAAUCAUUGGGUUUAAAGGGUCCGUAGGUGGACAAUUAAGUCAGAGGUGAAAUCCUGCAGCUCAACUGUAGAAUUGCCUUUGAUACUGGUUGUCUUGAGUCAUUAUGAAGUGGUUAGAAUAUGUAGUGUAGCGGUGAAAUGCAUAGAUAUUACAUAGAAUACCAAUUGCGAAGGCAGAUCACUAAUAAUGUACUGACACUGAUGGACGAAAGCGUGGGGAGCGAACAGGAUUAGAUACCCUGGUAGUCCACGCCGUAAACGAUGGUCACUAGCUGUUCGAAUUUCGGUUUGAGUGGCUAAGCGAAAGUGAUAAGUGACCCACCUGGGGAGUACGUUCGCAAGAAUGAA
rnacentral:rRNA from 1 species